AUAAAUGCUUACGUUUGAACUCUUCCUGUGAUUUCAGAUUCCAGCGGGGCGACUACCACAUUGAUGUCUGCAUCAAUGACUACCUGGAUGUGUUCUGCCCUCACUAUGAAGACUCAGUGCCAGAAGAUAAGACUGAACGCUAUGUUCUGUACAUGGUGAACUUUGAUGGCUACAGCUCCUGCGAUCACACCUCCAAAGGAUUCAAGAGGUGGGAGUGUAAUCGGCCGCAUUCCCCAAAUGGACCAUUGAAGUUCUCGGAAAAGUUCCAGCUCUUCACGCCCUUCUCACUAGGAUUUGAGUUCAGGCCAGGCCGGGAAUAUUUCUACAUCU